AUGUGUAAAUCAUUUCCAUGUGUUCAUGAUAGUGUUAUAUUUAUGAGAAAGUUAGUGCGGACAGAGAGUAAAUCUCUGAUGAUCAAAUCAUAGAAUAAAUGUUUGGAGUUGACAGAAUCAUACUUAACCUUCUUAUAAAUGGAGUCUAAGAUGGUAAUUAGGGCUGUGUGCUAGUUUCUAGCACCUCUGCCCUAUGCAGUUCUUUACAUCAAAGUUUAUUUACAACCACAUUUAUAAAAAAAAAUAAAUGGAGUCUAGGUGUCCAGUGCUGUCAGUCUCACACAUCCUACUGUAUAUAAAUUUGGGGUGUUUUAGGACAUAGUGGGAGGAUGUGGCUGUGAACUGCUCCCCCCCACCCGGAGUAGUGGGCCUUACUGGAUCCUUCACAGAAGAAACUCUACAGAGAUGUGAUGUGGGAAACCUUCAGGAACCUGGCCUCAGUGGGAAAGGAAUGGGAAGAUCUUAACAUUGAAGAUCAGUACAAAAACCAUGGGAGAAAAUGAAGAAGUCCAGUGGAACAGUCUGUGCUGUGAAAGAGGUUGGUCAAGUGUGCAGAAAACUUCAGCCUUAUUUCAAAUCUCAGUCUGAAGAAGGAAACUACAAGAGUAAUACCAUGUGAACACAGUGCAUGUGGAAAAGUCUUCAUGCAUCUUUCAUCCCUUAGUAGGCACAUCAGGCGUCACACUGGACAAAAAGCAUAUGAGUUUCAAAAAAUAUUGAGGGAAGCCAGAUCAGUGUUGAGAAUGUGGUAAAGCCUUCAGUUAUCCACCCUGGUUUGAAAAACAUGAAAGAAGUCACAAUGGAGAGAAACCCUAUAAAUGUAGGGAAUGUGGGAAAGCUUUCAGUUGUUCAAAUUCACUUCGAACACAUGAAAGAACCCAUACUGGAGAGAAACCCUAUGAAUAUAAGGAGUUUGGAAAAGGCUUCAUUUCUCACAACCUUUCGAAGACAUGACAAUGCAAUGUGCAGAAUUUGGGAAAGACUUCAGUUAUCCUAGCUCCUUUUGAAAGUGUGAAGUGAUUCACUGGAUAAAAUCUCUUCAGUGUAAACGGCAUGGGAAAGACUUGAA